rnacentral:rRNA from 1 species
AGCAGCCGCGGUAAUUCCAGCUCCAAUAGCGUAUAUUAAAGUUGUUGCAGUUAAAAAGCUCGUAGUUGAAUUUCGGGGUCAGUAGAUUGGUCGUGCCACUGGUAUGUACUGGUCUCACUGGCUCCUCCUUCCUGAUGAACCGUAAUGCCAUUAAUUUGGUGUUGCGGGGAGACUGGACUGUUACUUUGAAAAAAUUAGAGUGUUUAAGGCAGGCUAACGCUUGAAUACAUUAGCAUGGAAUAAUGAAAUAGGACGUUCGACCUUAUUUUGUUGGUUUCUAAGAUUGGCGUAAUGAUUAAUAGGGAUAGUUGGGGGCAUUAGUAUUCAAUUGUCAGAGGUGAAAUUCUUGGAUUUAU